UACGUAGGGUGCAAGCGUUGUCCGGAAUUAUUGGGCGUAAAGAGCUCGUAGGCGGUUUGUCGCGUCUGCUGUGAAAACUCGGGGCGCAACUCCGAGCUUGCAGUGGGUACGGGCAGACUAGAGUGCGGUAGGGGAGACUGGAAUUCCUGGUGUAGCGGUGGAAUGCGCAGAUAUCAGGAGGAACACCGGUGGCGAAGGCGGGUCUCUGGGCCGUAACUGACGCUGAGGAGCGAAAGCAUGGGGAGCGAACAGG
rnacentral:rRNA from 1 species